GGGGAAUUUUGGACAAUGGGCGCAAGCCUGAUCCAGCCAUGCCGCGUGAGUGAAGAAGGCCUUCGGGUUGUAAAGCUCUUUCGGCCGGGAAGAAAUCGUGUUCUCUAACAUAGGACAUGGAUGACGGUACCGGACUAAGAAGCACCGGCUAACUACGUGCC
rnacentral:rRNA from 1 species